CAAUCACAGUGGGAGGUCUAAAUAUCUCCCACGUGUGAUUGUUAAUUCUGAUUGGAAAUUAUCCAAUCAGAAUUAACCUGAUGGUUUAAAUACUUACCUUUCCUGUUCCUCCCUGCCCUGUUGUGGUCUUUGCUUUCUAGUAUUGCUACUUACCUUGUGCUUCUGGUUACGUACUCUCCGGCUAGUUUAUCUGACUCUGUG